UCCAAACAGUCUGAACUCUUUGACAUCUCCCAUAAGGAAGCCUAUACUAAAAGGGCAGUCUAAAACUAGAGCAUUAGACGAGAAAGAUUUUGACCGUCCACAUACUCUGGUUCUUUCAUUAUCUGCAUUCAGUAAACAAGAGCUUGAAGGGCCACCUAAGCCUGGAAAUGUAGCCAAGAAAGGUUUUGA
rnacentral:sRNA from 1 species